UCGAGGGGCAGCAUGGUCUUAGCUUGCUAAGGCCGAUGGCGACCGGCGCACGGGUGAGUAACACGUAUCCAACCUGCCGUCUACUCUUGGACAGCCUUCUGAAAGGAAGAUUAAUACAAGAUGGCAUCAUGAGUUCACAUGUUCACAUGAUUAAAGGUAUUCCGGUAGACGAUGGGGAUGCGUUCCAUUAGAUAGUAGGCGGGGUAACGGCCCACCUAGUCUUCGAUGGAUAGGGGUUCUGAGAGGAAGGUCCCCCACAUUGGAACUGAGACACGGUCCAAACUCCUACGGGAGGCAGCAGUGAGGAAUAUUGGUCAAUGGGCGAGAGCCUGAACCAGCCAAGUAGCGUGAAGGAUGACUGCCCUAUGGGUUGUAAACUUCUUUUAUAAAGGAAUAAAGUCGGGUAUGGAUACCCGUUUGCAUGUACUUUAUGAAUAAGGAUCGGCUAACUCCGUGCCAGCAGCCGCGGUAAUACGGAGGAUCCGAGCGUUAUCCGGAUUUAUUGGGUUUAAAGGGAGCGUAGAUGGAUGUUUAAGUCAGUUGUGAAAGUUUGCGGCUCAACCGUAAAAUUGCAGUUGAUACUGGAUAUCUUGAGUGCAGUUGAGGCAGGCGGAAUUCGUGGUGUAGCGGUGAAAUGCUUAGAUAUCACGAAGAACUCCGAUUGCGAAGGCAGCCUGCUAAGCUGCAACUGA
rnacentral:rRNA from 1 species